UGGCCAAUUAGUGUUUGGUUGUUCGUUUCAGCUAUCAUAGCUUUUCCUUAGCACUUGCCAUGCCAUGUUCAGACAUUGCAUUAAAUGCAUGGUUUGAGUUCUCUAUCUUCUCUCUUACUCAUAAAGGACUUUUAGAUGGCUAAUUUAUGUUGAGAACAGAAAAUGUUCAGGCACCAAAAGAAGGGAACUGCAAUGUUUUUCAAUACCUAGAUCAAGCUGCUAAAAUGUUAUACAGAUAACUGGUUCUCUAACUACUGUACAUGUAGAAAGGCAUGUGUUAAGAAAAAUAAAAAGAAAAAUAAUUACCAAAAAAAUCUGGUUUACAUUAAAAAUGCAGUCAAGGCAAAGAUUUAUGCGUACAUAGAUCUAAUAGCAUAUGUUGCAG
rnacentral:lncRNA from 1 species